rnacentral:rRNA from 1 species
UACGUAGGGUGCGAGCAUUGUCCGGAAUUAUUGGGCGUAAAGAGCUCGUAGGCGGUUUGUCGCGUCGACUGUGAAAACCUACAGCUUAACUGUGGGCUUGCAGUCGAUACGGGCAGACUUGAGUUCGGUAGGGGAGACUGGAAUUCCUGGUGUAGCGGUGAAAUGCGCAGAUAUCAGGAGGAACACCGGUGGCGAAGGCGGGUCUCUGGGCCGAUACUGACGCUGAGGAGCGAAAGCGUGGGGAGCGAACAGG